CCCUUUGGGGUGUGACUGCGUACCUUUUGUAUAAUGGGUCAGCGACUUAUAUUCUGUAGCAAGGUUAACCGUAUAGGGGAGCCGCAGGGAAACCGAGUCUUAACCGGGCGUUAAGUUGCAGGGUAUAGACCCGAAACCCGGUGAUCUAGCCAUGGGCAGGUUGAAGGUUGGGUAACACUAACUGGAGGACCGAACCGACUAAUGUUGAAAAAUUAGCGGAUGACCUGUGGCUGGGGGUGAAAGGCCAAUCAAACCGGGAGAUAGCUGGUUCUCCCCGAAAGCUAUUUAGGUAGCGCCUCGUGAAUUCAUCUCCGGGGGUAGAGCACUGUUUCGGCUAGGGGGCCAUCCCGGCUUACCAACCCGAUGCAAACUGCGAAUACCGGAGAAUGUUAUCACGGGAGACACACGGCGGGUGCUAACGUCCGUCGUGAAGAGGGAAACAACCCAGACCGCCAGCUAAGGUCCCAAAGUCAUGGUUAAGUGGGAAACGAUGUGGGAAGGCCCAGACAGCCAGGAUGUUGGCUUAGAAGCAGCCAUCAUUUAAAGAAAGCGUAAUAGCUCACUGGUCGAGUCGGCCUGCGCGGAAGAUGUAACGGGGCUAAACCAUGCAC
rnacentral:rRNA from 1 species